CUGAACUCCAAUCGAAACUUCUUUCAGCCUCUUAACAAUUUUAUUACUUGUGCUUUUGUACUCUGCAUGACAAACUAGUUAUGCAACACUGCCACACCUUUUCCUCCUUUAUAUAGUUUGUCUCUGCUGUUCACCAGCCUCAGUCUGAAAGCCACAUCAGACUAUUGUAUUUGUUCAUCGAGUAUUCACCUUAUUUAAGGACAGGAAUAAUGACGAUGAAGGAGAUUGCUGUUCUUCUUCUUUUUUUAGAGAUUAGAUUAUUUGCUGCUGAAGUACAUAAGAAUCUAACAGGAAUUGUUGGAGAAAGAAUCCCUUUUGAUGAGCCUGUGUGGAAGCAGGCAAAUUUAUUACAUGGGGUAACAGUUGUUGCAGAAAUCAACAAGGGUGAACUUGAGAUCUUCUCAAGUAACAUUUCCUGGAACAAUGAAACUAGACUCUUCAUGAUCACCUUGCAGAAGAAUGACUCCGGAAUUUAUACUUUGCAUACAUCAUCAAAUAAUGUGACGUACUAUCUCAAAGUUUAUAAUUCACCACCUGUUCCUAAAGUGAACACACUGAAUGUGAGCUCAGACAACUGCAUCUUGCAGUGCUCUGCGGACAAAGAGGCGACUCUCCGAUGGUAUAAAAACGACAAAAUGGUUUAAAAGAUUGGACUGUAAUUUUAAUCACCGUUGGGAUCGUUGGGAUCAUUGGGAUCAUUGGGAUUAUUGCAUUCGGUCUCUGGAUUCAGCUAAGAAGAAAUAAAGAGGUGAAAUGUCAAAGCUUCUGCUCCUUCGAAGUGAUUACAAGUUGUCCGCAAAGAUGCACUGAGGGCAAGAGGGACGAUAAAAUUCAAGAUGAGGAUGAAUACAACGCCCAUGAAGUUACGCCCCUUACAAACAGCAACACCCCCUGAGGCAAGUUACCUCUCCUCUCAGCAGCCCAAUUAUAUUCAACAAGAAGUGUCCGAAGCAACGCGUACUAUGCGAUUAUAAAAAUAUUGAUGGCGAAACACGGCGUUGAAUCCCAGCGACGCAUCUGCGAAGAAAAAAGGCGCGGACGAGCCACGAGUGUGUCAGAUUGGCUAAAGUUUUCAUGUCCUCAAUUAUUGAGGUGGCUUGCAUCAUAUGUGAUGUGAAUAAAUUUUGAUGCGUUAUAACUUCCUGUAAGAAUGUCUUUUUAUUAAACAUACUGUUUAUUUAAUCUAAAGAAAAUGAAGAAAAAGCAAACUCACCUCUGUAAAUCUAUUCACAUUUUUUUUACCUUCUGAUGCGCCCUCUGUCUUUCUGUUUAUCUAUCUCUCCAUCUCUCUCGCUACAUUGUGUAUGUGAGAGACUUUCUAUCUAGCUCUAGAGUGUAGACAAUCAAGCAAUGAGGAUACCAUCUCCUGAUAUCCUUUUUGCAGAGCAAAUCUGCCCUGGCACAUGUAGGCAACCAUCUUCUCCAUAUGGUUUGCCUGAAAUGCAGGGACAGGACACAAUAAAACAAGAAGUGUACAUGAUUAAACGAAAUGUAUGUCAAUAGCUCUUCAAACCUUUUUCUGACACAUAUAAAUGAAAGUAAAAAAAAAGAAAAGACAACCGCAGUUGAAAAUACCAGAGAAACCAACCACAGGAUGAAGCUCUCUUUAAACCUGCAGCAUAUAACCGUUUGGACGUAACUAACGGAAAUAAAGUGCUGAGGUAAAGAAAAUCUAAACAGUUAAGUUUCACUGCCGCAUAAAAGUGGAAAAAGUUUUGACUGGCCAUGACAAAAACCAGGAACAAGUCUCUCUGAGGAUGUUUUGAGAUAUCUGAAAGUGUGGAUUCUAAGCCCUCUAAUGAUGUCAAACAACAUAGAAAUCAAAAAUAAAAAGAACAUAUGGCUAUUUGAAUGUUGGCACUUUGCAAAUAAGAUUAAUGAGAAAACAGCUCAGAGUUGCAGAAGAAUUGUCUUCUGCAAGAAGACACCCCCAGGUGAUGAGUGACCUGGGGGUGUUAACAAAGACUGUUCAUUUACAUUAAUUUGCAUUAACCACCCCCGCCCCCAGCAUUGACUGUUCACAGGUAUGACAGGGAAAGUGAGGAGACAAAAGUAAGCUUGUUCCUGGUUUUCCUGAGGUGUCGUAUUUGAUUAGAUUCAGUGCGACUUAACGUGUCUGCAUACGGCCUCCAAAUUAAACGUCAUUCAUUGCUGUCGGUAGGUUAUCCAGAACUAUCUCGGUAGUUAUGACGCUAUAUGUUUGGGCUGCUAGAGGAAAAUAAUGACCACUUUUUCCAAUUCUAUUUACCUGCCAAAUGUUCACAAUUAUUCCUGCCAUUAACUGUUUUUUUUCUUUUUCCGAGGUAUUCCUGGAGGACUUGUUUUUCUUUACACCCGAGUUUAUGGCAACAUAUCCUGACUCCAUUUCUGGCAGAAAUUUGAAUUGAGCUUUGCUUAUCCUUUAAACGCUGCUCAACAUAUUCUAGGAUUCAGUUACUGGAAAUAAAACCCAGAAGAUUCAAGGCCCAAGGACAAAAUAAUAAAAGACAUGUCAUGUCAGCCCCAUCUUGAGAUGAAUAUGGAGGGAAUGCUGGCUACUCGUACCUCUUCAGCAGAUCCAAGUAGGAGUCACCAUCCAGGACUUCUGCACUCCAUGUCAAGAGAAAAUAAAGGUGGAGGUGGAGUGAAAGUAAAUGGUACAGUUAACUGCAUACAUAUAAAGAUGCCUCCACCACUUCCAGCCCCCAACAAAGACUUUGACCAAACAGGAAGAUGAAUCAAAAGCACAAGUAUUUUUCCGUCUACUUUAGUUUUCCUCUCUUUUGUGUUGCGUAGCCAUUGCAGUGUCAUUCAUUGAUAUUUUUUGUAGUGGAUUACUUUAACAGUUUUAGUGGGGAUUGUAGUAGAGGCAACUUAAACACAGAUGAUUUACACUUAUGACUGUUAAUUCUCACUAAACCUUAUGCCUAAUGGAAUAUUAGUUUAGACUUAAAUCCAGGUUGCUCUGAACAGAACAUGCUCAUUUUGUGCCAAACUGUUAACCAUAACCUUAAACAUGGAACCGUAUCCGCUCCUGCGGGAGGAGGGAUGUAGAGCGUCUUUUUCCUGUGAAUGACAGCCACAGGUUUUUUCGGCUCUACACAAAGUGAGCACAGACCUGAUGCAACAACAAAUAGAAAGUAUUAUUAGUUGUUAUUGGAAAGUGUUAUAUCAACUAUCAUCCUUGUCACACAGGCGGUGUUUGUUUUCACACCUGCUUUUAGAUGUAGAUUGUUGAUCCACUUUUCUCCUCUUUUUUCAGUAAGUUUUUAAAAAAUUAUCUCUCUUGUGACCAGCUACGUUCGAAAUCUUUCUCUCCAUUAGAAUGGUUGGAGCAACCUUACAGGACUCAGACUUUAGGCAUUUUGAUGCUGGAUCAGAAGAAAUAAAUGGACUGCAUUUACUUCCUGCCCUCCAUGUGCAUUGGGUGCUAUGUCAUCUGAAACCCAGCAGUACUUUUGAAGCAUGUAUUUAUUUAAUUUUGUAUUUCUUUAUUUAUUUUUAAAAAUCAGUGAGUGUUUCUUGAAUUCUCUGUAUGGAC